AUUGAACGCUGGCGGCAGGCCUAACACAUGCAAGUCGAGCGGAUGACGGGAGCUUGCUCCUUGAUUCAGCGGCGGACGGGUGAGUAAUGCCUAGGAAUCUGCCUGGUAGUGGGGGACAACGUUUCGAAAGGAACGCUAAUACCGCAUACGUCCUACGGGAGAAAGCAGGGGACCUUCGGGCCUUGCGCUAUCAGAUGAGCCUAGGUCGGAUUAGCUAGUUGGUGGGGUAAUGGUACACCAAGGCGACGAUCCGUAACUGGUCUGAGAGGAUGAUCAGUCACACUGGAAAUGGGACGCGGCCCAGACUCCUACGGGAGGCAGCAGUGGGGAAUAUUGGACAAUGGGCGAAAGCCUGAUCCAGCCAUGCCGCGUGUGUGAAGAAGGUCUUCGGAUUGUAAAGCACUUUAAGUUGGGAGGAAGGGCAGUAAGUUAAUACCUUGCUGUUUUGACGUUACCGACAGAAUAAGCACCGGCUAACUCUGUGCCAGCCGCCGCGGUAACAC
rnacentral:rRNA from 1 species